rnacentral:rRNA from 1 species
CAGUCGCCGCGGUAAUACAUAGGUGGCAAGCGUUGUCCGGAAUUAUUGGGCGUAAAGGGCUCGCAGGCGGUUUCUUAAGUCUGAUGUGAAAGCCCCCGGCUCAACCGGGGAGGGUCAUUGGAAACUGGGAAACUUGAGUGCAGAAGAGGAGAGUGGAAUUCCACGUGUAGCGGUGAAAUGCGUAGAGAUGUGGAGGAACACCAGUGGCGAAGGCGACUCUCUGGUCUGUAACUGACGCUGAGGAGCGAAAGCGUGGGGAGCGAACAGGAUUAGAUACCCCCGUAGUCCCUGUCUCUUAUAC